rnacentral:rRNA from 1 species
AUUGAACGCUGGCGGCAUGCCUUACACAUGCAAGUCGAACGGCAGCACGGGAGCAAUCCUGGUGGCGAGUGGCGAACGGGUGAGUAAUAUAUCGGAACGUGCCCAGUCGUGGGGAUAACGUAGCGAAAGCUACGCUAAUACCGCAUACGAUCUAUGGAUGAAAGCGGGGGAUCGCAAGACCUCGCGCGAUUGGAGCGGCCGAUAUCAGAUUAGGUAGUUGGUGAGGUAAAGGCUCACCAAGCCGACGAUCUGUAGCUGGUCUGAGAGGACGACCAGCCACACUGGGACUGAGACACGGCCCAGACUCCUACAGGAGGCAGCAGUGGGGGAAUUUUUGGGACAAUGGGCGCAAGCCUGAUCCAGCAAUGCCGCGUGCAGGAUGAAGGCC